rnacentral:rRNA from 1 species
CCUACGGGUGGCUGCAGUGGGGAAUAUUGCACAAUGGGGGAAACCCUGAUGCAGCGACGCCGCGUGAGUGAAGAAGUACUUCGUUACGUUAAGCUCCAUCAGCAGGGGAGAAAUACUGACCUUACGGUCAGCAGACGGUACCUGCGUAAGAAGCCCCUGCUAACUACGUGGCAGCACCCGCGGUAAUAUGGAGGGGUGAGGCGGUAUCCGGAUUUGCUGGGUGUAAAGGGGGUGUAGAGGGUGCGCCUAGUCUGGAGUGAAAUGGUGCGGCUUAAAUGCGGACCGGCGUUGGAAAAUGGGGAACUAGAGUGGGGGAGGGGUAAGCGGAAUGCGUGGUGUAGCGGUGAAAUGCGUAGAUAUCAGGAAGAACACCGAUGGCGAAGGCGGCGUACCGGCGCGGAACUGACGUUGAAGCUCGAAGGCGUGGGGAGCGAACAGGAUUAGAUACCCUAGUAGUC